UGAGUCACUUUCAAACGUAAUAUGUUGUCCACGAAGGUUGCAUGUACUGUGAACAGACAACAUAUUACGUUUGGUUACUUACCUUUUUGAAUUUUCUGAAUAUUGAAAUUAGUUAGAAGAAGAAAACUCAGAGAUCUGGUUCUCUGUUUCAGAUCGUAGCUUAGAGUCUCGUUUAGGGUUUCGGUUUCGAUCGAUCCCUAUUUUUCAGACACACACAACACAAACGCUUUCAUCUCUCAAUUUCGCUUUUCGAUCCGUUCAUUUUCAUCAUCUAUGGCGGCGAUCGAAGAAGUAUCGGUCCUCGCUGAUUCCAUGCGUCAAGCUUCUGCGUUACUCGCGGACGAAGAUACCGGCGAAACUUCCAAUUCUAGAAGACCUUCAACUUUCUUCAACGUUGUUUCUCUCGGCAACAUCGCAAGUCUCCACAAUUUCAAUUCUCAUGAUCACAAUCGUUAUCGUAGCUUCAAUUUUGUUGUUUUUUGCGAUUUUGAUUUCAAUUUCGAUUUUCUAGGGUUUUUGUAAAUCAGCGGUUUUGAACAAUUUAAUUGGACAUCCAGUUCUGGUAAGUUAGGUUUUGAAACUCUUUAAUCUCAAUUUGGAAGAUGAAAUGAAAUUGAAAGUGGUUAAUGCCGUAUAUAUUCAUAUCCGUUGUUUUGUUUUCUUCAGGUGCUUUAAGACAUUCAUUGCAGGUCUGUGUAUGAAUGAUUGAUGAUUGAUUUUGGUUACCUUAAUGUGUUUUAUUUAGAGUAUUAGAUAUAAUAGAGCAAUACAGAUAUGAAAAGGUAAUAAAUUUCUUGAUUAUUACCAUUUCCCAUCCAAAGUUGCUGUCUUUCUUGACAAUACAGUAGUCAUCUGGUGAAUUUUUUGUAUAACCGGGUAGCAAACUGGGUUGAAAUUAACCCAAGCAAAAACAACUCAGUUAUUUUUAAUUAUGGUCGUAUAGAAUCAUCCAGAACUGCACGAGUUCACAACAAUUCACGUGAUUUUGCUUCAUUCUCAAUUCUACACACACACACACACGAUCGGAUCGUGAUUUUCAUAACAAUGAUUAUGAGGCCAGAUCAUUUCUGAUAGUUCCCUGUAUCUGAACCCUGUAAAAUACUUAUUUCUAUAUAAACAUUGAAUCAUUUCAUUUAUCAGACAGAUCUAGUGUGUUUGCGGUACCAUAGUUUUUUCUCUUGUACCAUGAUUUCUAACAUCUAUCCUCCCAGCUCCACCUCUGAAGUUGGUUGAUUUACCUGGGUUGGAUCAGCGCACCAUGGAUGGAUCAAGAGUAAGAGGUAUUGUACCUGCAGCUCAAGCACCCGAACUUGCUUCAUCUUGAGACCCAAGAAUGGCAAAGGAAUAUGAUGCAGAAGAUGCAAAAACCAUUCAAUUUAGAGACAAAGUCGUAAAGAAGAGUGGGAUCUGAAAAAUAUUUAUGGGAUGAAAAUUGAAAAGAAGGUCGCUGAUAUGGUUAGUGAAGAUCAAGUUGAUAUUUUAUGUUGGUAGAACUUAUUGGUCAUAUUGCAAACAAUACGUGGGGAAUGAUGACAUGUCGACUUGCUCUAGGGAUGUAGCCCUUAGAUCUAUUUGGACGUUAACUCAGCUAAUCUACUUGCACCUCAACUCAGCUAUGCCAUGUAUUUAAUGUGUUUUAAGGGAUAGAGAUGGCAUUGGUCGAAUUCUGAAUAGCCUAACCAGACUUAUUUACCUUAGUAGCUAGAAGAUAUACUCCUUGGACUCUCUCCUCAGGGAUUGGGUAGGCGAUGUAUGAGAUUAUAUCAACAAUUCACAUCUUGGGACAUCCUGAACAGCCUCUGGUGAUAGGAUAUCUAUCUCUUAUUAUUUUACACACUCUAUGUCAUAUUUCAUAGAAGCUCCCCUUAUCUAUCACGACUACGCCAAAUAUAAAAGGAUUGUUUAUUCAGCUGUUGUCAAGAUGCAAGAACCAUUCAGUUUAGAGACAAAGUCGUAAAGAAACGUGGGAUCUGGAAAAAAAUUUAUGGGACUGGUGAAAAGAAGGUCACCGAUAUGGUUAGAGAAGAUCAAGUUGAUAUUUUGGUAGAACUUACUGGUCAUAUUACAAACAAUACACUGGGAAUGAUGGCAUGUCGACUUGCUCUAGGUAUUUUUCUUAAUUCUGUAUGUAUACUUUUUUCCUUUGUUUUUCAACUUACAUAUUUUCUUAUUCUUACUUUCUACACAACACAUAUAUAUAGUUUUCCUUUUUAUAUUCCA